rnacentral:rRNA from 1 species
CCUACGGGAGGCAGCAGUCGAGAAUCAUUCACAAUGGGGGAAACCCUGAUGGUGCGACGCCGCGUGGGGGAAUGAAGGUCUUCGGAUUGUAAACCCCUGUCAUGUGGGAGCAAAUUAAAAAGAUCGUACCACAAGAGGCAGAGACGGCUAACUCUGUGCCAGCAGCCGCGGUAAUACAGAGGUCUCAAGCGUUGUUCGGAAUCACUGGGCGUAAAGCGUGCGUAGGCUGUUUCGUAAGUCGGGUGUGAAAGGCGCGGGCUCAACCCGCGGACGGCACAUGAUACUGCGAGACUAGAGUAAUGGAGGGGGAACCGGAAUUCUCGGUGUAGCAGUGAAAUGCGUAGAUAUCGAGAGGAACACUCGUGGCGAAGGCGGGUUACUGGACAUUAACUGACGCUGAGGCACGAAGGCCAGGGGAGCGAAAGGGAUUAGAUACCCUUGUAGUC